AUUUUCAUUGCAUUAUUGUUCUUUCUUUCUUUCUUAUUUUUUUUAGGCUAAAUGUUUCCAAAGAACAGCAGCUGAGUGUGGUGGGACCCACCCAGCCAUGUGUCCGGUAUUCACACACAUGGUCAAGUUUUGGAAAUGAGGCUGUACACACCGAGGCUGCUGUGCUGGUUAUGAAAGAAGGACUGGGUGCUGCGCCGUGUAUAGACAGACGCACAGCCCUGAGCGAGCGGCAGACAGUUCACAGAUGCUUCUCUGGAUGGAGCCAAUGGGAUGAUGAACCGGGAUGCCUACUCUCUAUCUUUUCUGUGGGGAGUCAUUCUGAUGGAAGGAAGUGCUCAGAUGGUAAAGUCCACCUGUGCCAAUAUGCACAGGGAUUCCAUGGAUCCUGCCGUCAGUAUGGUGAGUCGUGAGCAAGACCGUUUUAUUGUGAUUUGGGGCUGUCUCCCUUGCUUUCUUCGGACCAGCCAAUCUUGUUGAUUUAAAC
rnacentral:lncRNA from 1 species